ensembl:piRNA 21ur-3687 ncRNA
UGCUGAUUCUUUUGCUCUCUG